rnacentral:rRNA from 1 species
AGAGGGUGCAAGCGUUAAUCGGAAUCACUGGGCGUAAAGCGCACGUAGGUGGAUAUUUAAGUCGGAUGUGAAAGCCCUAGGCUUAACCUAGGAACUGCGUUCGAUACUGGGUAUCUAGAGUAUAGGAGAGGGAAGUGGAAUUUCAGGUGUAGCGGUGAAAUGCGUAGAUAUCUGAAGGAACAUCAGUGGCGAAGGCGACUUCCUGGACUAAUACUGACACUGAGGAGCGAAAGCGUGGGGGGAGCAAACAGGAUUAGAUACCCUGGUAGUCCACGCCCGUAAACGAUGAGAACUGGGCGAUAGGAGGGUGACCUCUUAGUGCCGAAGCUAACGCGUUAAGUUCUCCGCCUGGGAGUACGGCCGCAAGGUUA